UUCAAUAAUAAACUUCCUCAGGGGCAUCUAACAAAAUACUGCAUGCAUAUGGACAGUAUUUUGUUAGAUGCCCCUGAGGAAGUUCAUUAUUGA